GUGCUCACCUGGCCGGGGAGACACCAUCCAUGGUCAGGCAGGUGGUUUUCCCAGGGCGAGGCUSGUCCCUUGCACUCCGGGCGUGCUGACCCCUGCGAUUUCCCCAAAUGCGGGAAACUCGACUGCAUCGUUUGUGGYAGUGGGGGACUGCGUUYGCGCUCUCCCCGA
ensembl:snRNA U1 U1 spliceosomal RNA